rnacentral:rRNA from 1 species
UACAGAGGUCCCAAGCGUUGUUCGGAUUCACUGGGCGUAAAGGGUGCGUAGGCGGUCGGGUAAGUCUGAUGUGAAAUCUCCAAGCCUAACUCGGAAACUGCCUUUGAUACUAUCUGUCUUGAAUAUGGUGGAGGUAAGCGGAAUAUGUCAUGUAGCGGUGAAAUGCUUAGAGAUGACAUAGAACACCCAUUGCGAAGGCAGCUUACUACGCCUAUAUUGACGCUGAGGCACGAAAGCGUGGGGAUCAAACAGGA